GGAUUCAGAAGCAGGAAGUACUGGUGGUGAUGAAAGCAUAUCAGAAGCCAUAGCCAUGCUUGGGAGACAGUUCAACAAGUUCGUAAAGAAGAUUGAUCAAAAAGGUAGACCAAAUGUCAAGAACAUCUCGUCUGACAUCAGGAAAAGAUCAACUUCUGAAGAAAGGUUCAACCAAGGCAAGGGAAUCCAGUGUCAUGGAUGUGAAGGUUUUG
rnacentral:lncRNA from 1 species